AAUGAAGUGCCUGAAAAAAGGAUUAUUUUGAUAGAAUAAAUUAUGUAGUUCACUACCUUCAUUA
rnacentral:tRNA from 1 species